rnacentral:lncRNA from 1 species
GUAGAGAUUGCCAAUGUGUGACAGUGGAGGGAGAUCGUCAUCAUAGAGGGUAGAUGGAGGCAGGCAGACCAUCAUUAGUAUCAAUGCAGGGUCUUUUUUGUGGGUGGUGGUGGACUUCAAGGGGGUCGUUGUCAUUGAGGGGCUAGGACAUGAGUACGGACACUUGGGAAGGGGAUAAGGGUAGAUGAGAAAAGGUCUGAGCAUUUUGCAGAAUGUUAUUUAUUAAUGAUCCUGGAGGGACACGUAUUACAUUUCUCUAUACUGUGUCAAUGAGUUAUGUUGUCCCGUGUAUACUAGAGUUUUGAAAAUUAUCAGCAAGCAGUCGUGUCCAUAUGGCUUGCUGCUGAUGCAGUUGUAGUUUUCUGAACAGGUAAGUAAUUGAAUCAAAAUCUCAUUUAAUGAUCACGUUAACUUUUGAAAUCUCAUUUAAUGGCGUAAACUUUUGAUAAGUGGUAUCUGAGCAUUUUGCAGAAUGUUAUCUAUUCAUGAUCCACCAUUUUCCUUAGCUCAUACAAACUAGGCAAAUUGCCUUUGAUUUUUACUCAAAUAAAUGAAAAUGGUACUUUGAAUGGUUAGGAUGAAUAACGACCACUGAAACCAACUAGGGAAAGGUGUGUUCUGAUGUCUGGUUCUGACUGGAUGAUAAACGUUUUUUGCCCAAUACUUGCUUGUCAUUUGAAGGAAUUGUAUAGUCUCAACUUGAAUGCUAGGCAUCCUUGAGCAGCUUUAAUAUAAUGCAUUUGAGAACUACUAGAGGUUACCCAAACUGUUCCCUCCAACUGAUUUCCCUUGGGAACUGCUGCAAAGUUUAGUUAAUUCAAGAGGCAAGAUUUUAAUUGUAUAAGUUAUUUGAAGAAAUCGUUCAACUAACCUCAGACAUAUUACAGAUGCUUGAUGAUUUCGUGGAUGUUACCAAAGAUGAGAAGCAAAUGAUGCAUCUGUGGAACUCAUUUGUUAGAAAGCAAA